CUUAAGGUAGUGGCAAACGGGUGCGUAACACGUAAAUAACAUUCCAAAGAGUAUAGAAUAGCCCAGGGAAACUUGGUGUAAUGCUAUAUAGUGUCGUAAGACUAAAGGUUUACCGCUCUUUGAUUGGUUUGCGGCCUAUCAGCUAGUUGGCGGGGUAAUGGCGCACCAAGGCGACGACGGGUAGCUGGUCUGAGAGGAUGGCCAGCCACACUGGAACUGAGACACGGUCCAGACACCUACGGGUGGCAGCAGUCGAGAAUCUUUCACAAUGGGGGCAACCCUGAUGGAGCGACGCCGCGUGGAGGAUACGGUCCUUGGAUCUUAAACUCCUGUCAUGCGAGAACAAAGCUUUUAACGGCCUGAUAGUAUCGCAAGAGGAAGAGACGGCUAACUCUGUGCCAGCAGCCGCGGUAAUACAGAGGUCUCAAGCGUUGUUCGGAAUCACUGGGCGUAAAGGGCGCGUAGGUGGCCAUGCAAGUCAGGUGUGAAAACUUAGCGCUCAACGUUAAGCCUGCAUUUGAAACUACAUGGCUCGAGAACCAGAGGGGAAACUAGAAUUCACGGUGUAGCAGUGAAAUGCGUAGAUAACGUGAGGAAUACAAAGGCGAAGGCAGGUUUCUGGAUGGUUUCUGACACUGAAGCGCGAAGGCUAGGGGAGCAAAUGGGAUUAGAUACCCCGGUAGUCCUAGCAGUAAACGGUGCACGCUUGGUGUGGGGGGUUGACGCCUUCCGUGCCGUAGCUAACGCGAUAAGCGUGCCGCCUGGGAAGUACGGUCGCAAGACUAAAACUCAAAGAAAUUGACGGGGACCCGCACAAGCGGUGGAGUAUGUGGCUUAAUUCGAUGCAACGCGAUGAACCUUACCUGGAUUUGACAUGUAAUUUAAAGAGCACGAAAGUGUUCGGGUGUAGUAAUACACGGGUUACACAGGUGCUGCAUGGCUGUCGUCAGCUCGUUUCGUGUGAUGUUGGGUUAAGUCCCGCAACGAGCGCAACCCCUAUAUUCUGUUGCUAACGCUUUCGCGUGCACUUAGAAUAGACUGCCUAGAUCAACUAGGAGGAAGGUGGGGAUGACGUCAAGUCAGUAUGGUCCUUACAUCCAGGGCUGCACACGUACUACAAUGCUCAGCACAAUGUGAUCCGACGUCGCGAGACCGAGGCAAUCAGCAAAGCUGGGCUCAGUUCAGAUUACAGGCUGCAACUCGCCUGUAUGAAGAUGGAAUCGCUAGUAAUGGUGCAUCAGCUACGGCACCGUGAAUACGUUCCCGGGUCUUGUACACACCGCCCGUCACAUCAUGGAAGCUGGCAAUAUCUAAGGGGCAGUUCAGCAACCCUUUUCGGAGGGGGCUUUGGCUCAAAGAUCCUGCUGGUAACUGGGAUGAAGUCGUAACA
rnacentral:rRNA from 1 species